AGACACCGCACAUACGGCACAAGAUGGCCGGAGAGGCAGCAGCAACCCGAGCUGUCAGGCGAUCGGCCGCGGUUGCAGAGCCCGCCGGCCAGCGAGGAGCUGCGCCCGGACCGCCCGCAGGCCCGCGGAAGCGGGGCGGCGGCGGCUGAGGCGAGGCGGGCCGCGCGCCGAUGUUGGAGCCCGCGGCAGAGGCGCCCGGGGCAGCCGGGCCCGCGACGCCGAAAGCGCCGCUGCGGCAGCGGCUGCGGUGGCUCCCCGGGGCCUCGACGCCUUGGCCCGGCGCGGGAGGGAAACUCGAGCGGGCAGCUUAGCCCGGCGCUCGGGUGCGGGCGGCCAGGAGAGCCGACGGUCGCGCUUGGACCUGGUAACUUAGAAGAUUAAAAUUAACUUGGUUGCGGAUGGUUCUGAACAAAACAGCCCUUAUACUUGAGGUGUGCCAUUUUGUAUGCCAUUUUGAAAACCGAGAAUGGAGUUUCAUCCUUGAGGAUGAAGGAGAUCUUUGGAAAAGUCUAUCUUUUAUGUUGUAGAAAUGUGAAUCCUGAGACUGAAUUCUCUAAAGGUCCUGUACAAAGUAAUAGACGUUGGUGGAAGCAUUUUCACCCAGUCAGCUUGAAGAGCCUCAAAUGGAUCGUACCACUGAGAAAUCAAGAUGGCAGUCUACUGUGGGGAAUUGAGGAAAAUGGAUUAAUAUACCAAUGCCGUGAUAAUAUACAACCAUGACAGGGUUCUUUUAACAUGGAUUCCAUGAAAUGAAGAUAAUAGGUUUCUUACCCAACACAAAUGGACAGUGGACUUAACUUUGUAAAGAUUUUUUAUAUCAUUAAAACCAAGUACAUUUUUGACACUUGGAGAAGAAAGUUGGCAUGUUAUAGAUGCUAGUUUGUAUGCUUGCAAUUUCUUACAGUUUGACUUGUAUGAGUAUGACCUUAUGGAAUGUUAACUCCAAUAAAAUUUCUAACACUUUGAAA